UACGUAGGGGGCAAGCGUUGUCCGGAUUUAUUGGGCGUAAAGAGCGUGUAGGCGGCUGGGUAGGUCCGUUGUGAAAACUCGAGGCUCAACCUCGAGACGCCGAUGGAAACCCCCCAGCUAGAGUCCGGAAGAGGAGAGUGGAAUUCCUGGUGUAGCGGUGAAAUGCGCAGAUAUCAGGAAGAACACCCGUGGCUAAGGCGGCUCUCUGGGACGGUACUGACGCUGAGACGCGAAAGCGUGGGGAGCAAACAGG
rnacentral:rRNA from 1 species